rnacentral:rRNA from 1 species
CGGUAACACCGGCGGCUCGAGUGGUAACCGUUAUUAUUGGGUCUAAAGGGUCUGUAGCCGGCCGGAUAAGUCUCUUGGGAAAUCUGGCAGCUUAACUGUCAGGCUUUCAGGAGAUACUGUCUGGCUCGAGGCCGGGAGAGGUGAGAGGUACUUCAGGGGUAGGGGUGAAA